AAUUGUAAGCAAAAUCGAAUAUAUAACUUGGUUUGACCCAAACAGGGUGAUCGGAUGGAACUACUGAAGCAGUCCGGCCGAAAUCCUAAAAUGUGAUAGAGCAGUAACGUGACUCGAACGAUGCGGUACUUUAUGAAUUGCUGAAACAACGACACAGUGUAUUAGAAAAACAAAUAUAAAUGGUCAAAAUAGUGCAACAAGGUAAUGAGACUUCUGUGUUUCAGAAACGUGUGUUAGGCUAAAUUCGGCCAAAAAUGUUACACGAUGUUGUUAACUGUGCCUGGUUUCUAUAUAUUUAAAACAGAUUCUGUAUGAGGAAUAGAUAUUAUAGGUUCAUUGAUGAACAUGGCCGGCACACAGGUCGAGUUUCCGGUAUGAACUAUUGGAUGGAAGCUAGCGUUUGGUAAAUGUGCUCCUCACCGACUGUCAAGAGCCCCAGAUGGACAUCAUCGCCCGGCACGAAUUUGAGCAACCUUACGAGUUCUUCUCAAACAUGGAAAGCACACCCAAAGGGCCUAACAAGAUUUCAACAAGAAGCGUCCCGACCAGCACCUGUAUAUAUACAUACGGCAUACGUGAGAUACAGAAGCAUAGUAGCCACGAACGUAGAACCUGCGUCUGACUGAGCUGUAGUUUUCUACCGUAUACACAGAGCUAAAUAAAUGAGCAAUAACAAGUUGACUUUUAUAUCAAAUCAGUUUGCUGAUAUUGGUUGCUAAUGACGUUGCAAUGCAGCGUAACGUGAACAUCAAUCACAGUUCUACUUAAAAAUGAGAAAAAGUUGCUUAAUAAAUAAGGAGUCUACGGAUUUCAAAAUGGAUUAUUGAUGGCUUUUUGUAUGUCGUGUGCCCCGUCAGCCUGUCACAUAUAUUGUUAGUUAAUUACGUCAUGUAUGUUGAAACCACGCAGUAACUAACACAAUCUCUAGGGUACAGGU